GAUGAACGCUAGCGAUAGGCUUAACACAUGCAAGUCGAGGGGUAACGUGUUGGAAGCUUGCUUCCGAUGACGACGACCGGCGGAUGGGUGCGUAACGCGUAUGCAACUUGCCUCACAGUGGAGAAUAACCCGGAGAAAUCCGGACUAAUACUCCAUACACUCUUAAGUACGCCUGUACAUGAGAGGAAAGAUUUAUCGCUGUGAGAUAGGCAUGCGUCCUAUUAGGUAGUUGGUGAGGUAACGGCUCACCAAGCCGACGAUAGGUAGGGGUGCUGAGAGGCAGAUCCCCCACAUUGGGACUGAGACACGGCCCAAACUCCUACGGGAGGCAGCAGUGAGAAAUAUUGGUCAAUGGAGGAAACUCUGAACCAGCCAAGUCGCGUGAAGGAAGAAUGUCCUAAGGAUUGUAAACUUCUUUAGCGAGCGAGUAAGGACUUCCACGUGAUGGGAGUUUGAAAGUAGCUCGAGAAUAAGUAUCGGCUAACUCCGUG
rnacentral:rRNA from 1 species